UACGUAGGGGGCAAGCGUUGUCCGGAUUUAUUGGGCGUAAAGAGCUCGUAGGCGGCCUGUUGCGUCCGCUGUGAAAGCCCGGGGCUUAACCCCGGGUCGGCAGUGGAUACGGGCAGGCUAGAGGUAGGUAGGGGAGAAUGGAAUUCCCGGUGUAGCGGUGAAAUGCGCAGAUAUCGGGAGGAACACCGGUGGCGAAGGCGGUUCUCUGGGCCUUACCUGAUGCUGAGGAGCGAAAGCGUGGGGAGCGAACAGG
rnacentral:rRNA from 1 species